UUCAGAUAUGUUACCAUUACGGGGUCUGCUUUCAAAUGAUGUAUAGAUUCAUAAUUCCUCUAGCACCAUUUGAAAUCAGUUUCUCAAGAUGGCACACCAAC
rnacentral:pre_miRNA from 1 species